CAUCCUCCAAGGCUAAAUACUCCUGACUGACCGAUAGUGAACCAGUACCGUGAGGGAAAGGCGAAAAGAACCCCGGCGAGGGGAGUGAAAAAGAACCUGAAACCGUGUACGUACAAGCAGUGGGAGCCCCACCACUAAGCCAGUGGUGAACUCCACAUACGCAUCCUUUGCUGAGGAUACGGUUAACGGAGCGAAAGCGACGUUCAACCUCAAAAGAAGCAGAGGGGGCUUAGUGGUGGGGUGACUGCGUACCUUUUGUAUAAUGGGUCAGCGACUUAUAUUCUGUAGCAAGGUUAACCGAAUAGGGGAGCCGGAGGGAAACCGAGUCUUAAUUGGGCGUUAAGUUGCAGGGUAUAGACCCGAAACC
rnacentral:rRNA from 5 species